rnacentral:rRNA from 1 species
CAAUAGCGUAUAUUAAAGUUGUUGCAGUUAAAAAGCUCGUAGUUGGAUUUCUGGACGGAGCAGCCGGUCCGCCGCUGUGCGGUGUGUACUCGUGCUUGACUCGGUUCAUCCUUGUGGGGAAGCGCAUUUCGGCAUUCAGUUGUCGAGGCGGGGAACCACAUCAUUUACUGUGAAAAAAUUAGAGUGUUUAAAGCAGGCAUUUUGCUGUGAAUACAUUAGCAUGGAAUAAUAACAUAGGACUUUGAUUCUAUUUUGUCGGUUGGAGAUCAAGGUAAUGAUUAAUAGGGAUAGUUGGGGGUAUUCAUAUUUAAUUGUCAGAGGUGAAAUUCUUGGAUUUAUGAAAGAUGAACUCAUGCGAAAGCAUUUACCAAGGAUGUUUUCAUUAA